UUUUAACUAGUUAUAAAAAAUAAAUAAAAACUUAUUUUUAUUAUAGUCUAUUAUAAUCAUAUUUAUUUGCAGCCAUUAAUUCCAAAACAACCUCCUCACAAAAACGUUUUUAUUUUCAUCUAUACACUGUAAAGCCCAUGUAAAAACUACAUAGACUCUAAAGCCCAUGUGAAAAUUAAAAUUACUGACCCUAAAAAUGCUAUUAACCUAGAUAUUCUUCAACGUUAUCUCGGUCUAUCUUCCUAAAAGUCAGCCGCAACAUGGUCUCGCAUACAUCAAUGAUCAAACCACACAAAGCAAAUGACCAAGAUAAGGCAAACAAUUGCAACAUCCAUUUUACAUUUCUUUUUAAUAUUUUAGUGUUAACAAAAAAAGUACCUUCAAAAUUGGUGGGAUUAGAUCGCUUACCUUUUUUUCACUUGUAACCCUAAAUAGAGAAAACCCUUUUAUCUUUCUAUUGCUUCGGUAUUAUUAUUCAUUGAUCAAACCACACAAAGCAAAUGACCAAGAUAAGGCAAACAAUUGCAACAUCCAUUUUACAUUUCUUUUUAAUAUUUUAGUGUUAACAAAAAAAGUACCUUCAAAAUUGGUGGGAUUAGAUCGCUUACCUUUUUUUCACUUGUAACCCUAAAUAGAGAAAACCCUUUUAUCUUUCUAUUGCUUCGGUAUUAUUAUUCAUCGGGACCCAUAUAGGUCCGCCAUCGGUCAUUAAUAUAUAUAUA
rnacentral:lncRNA from 1 species